UCUUGCAAGCUAGGUGUGGGCAAAGUGCCGCAAUACAUAGUUUUGAAAUUGAGUAAGCUAUGAAAAAUACGCUACUUUUCAUAGCAGUUGUAAGAAAAUACAAUGAAAAAACUUGGCAAACACGAUAGAUGGAAAAAGUAAAUCCUAUAAGUUUUCAGUAUUUCAAUUCAAUUCAGUCUGGUUACAUUGAAAAUAUUGUGUUUUACUAUGGAACGACGACAUUUGUCUUAAGACGAGACGAAUCGAGCAGUAGGCCUUUUUUAAGCGCCAAGUCGAAGCAUCUGAGUGGAUGGGUGUCUCCCAAACUGCCAUAAGUCAUUUAUGGAGGCGUUUCAGGGAAACUGCGAGUCCGGCUGAACAACACCUAGGACGUAGACGCUGUACAAUGACAAGUCAGGAAAGAUUUUCAUUGCUAGGUAGAUAGAUAAAUAGAUAGAUAGAUAUAUAUGUUUAUUCGUUCUCAUUGAAAUAAACAAAAACAAGUCACAGAGAUAAUUACAUAUAUAAUUUUCUGUAUGUGUUAGAAGACAACGUACAAUUACACCUGAAUUGAAUUAUAGAAUUGCAGCGAGCACAUAACAUAAUCAUUGGACGAGUUACUCAAAGAAAUGGUCUUCACGACUAAAAAAUUAGAUGUCCACCUUUUUCUAAAGGCAUUCGCGGUGCCAGAGCAGACUGGUGCGAAAAUCAAUAAAAUUGGAAUGCAGAUGAUUCACUGAGUUUGGAGGCGAUCCGGGAAGCAUUUUUCCGUUUCCUAUGUGGCUAGCGCAACCAGUUGCUCUAAUCCAUUAGGGAACGGAGACUAGCGAGACAACUUCGUUCCCUAUGUGGCUAACGCAACUCGCACAUUUAUUGACCAGUGCUCUGCUUACAUGCUAAACAUUUUUGCAUAUACACCUAUAUUGUUAUAUUAAUGUAUAAAAUGAUAAUUAAAAUUUUUUUCUUUAAAUCAGGCUGAUUUAAGUUGGGUUUUUAUUCAAUGUAUCAAUUUAGUUCUCUCAUUUAAUAGGUUCUGCCUUUAAAUUUUUUAGAUCAUUGGGUAGUUUAUUUGUCCCCACGAUACAUUGCCAACACAAUUUGAUUUUUUAUUCUUCUAUGAAUAGUUGGUUUAUGCACAAAUAUUAAAUUUUAUUCGAUAUUGGGAUUCCACGUUAACUUCAAUAACAUUUGAUUUCAACUGUAGAUAUAAAUAUAAAUGAAAGCCGGCAUUCAUAAUAAACAAGAUACCUGUGCAAAGUUAUUUGAAUAUCUAAUUUUUGAGAAUAACAAUCAUAAUUAUUAUAUUCUACCUACAGAAAUUUCAUUGAUUAAUUUAAAAUCACAAAUUUCAUCCGGGAAUGUGGAACGUUUAGAAAAUGGAAGUUCACGCAUAUAGAGGCGGUACCGUAAUGGUAUGGACCGGAAAAAUAAUAGACGGCAGAACCGACCUCGUUUACCAAAUGGUUUUCUGACAGGUCAGCAAUAUAUGGAUGAUAUUCUUCAACCCUUUGCGCCUUUAUUUACUGGUGCAGUUGGUGCAAAAUUUCGCCCUAAUGCAGGAUAAUUCUCGUCCCAUACUGCUGCCUGUGGGACGAACUGCUUAGAAAACGAGGGACUUGAGGUAUAUGCAAUAUUCAAUAUAGAAAAGAUGAAGAACUCUGAAAAAAAUCAAAAUUGCGGAAAACCUGCAACUUUCGAGGUUUUUUCUCUCGGUUGUCAAAUUGAAUUUUAUUUUCUGAAUCAUCUCAAUUUUCAAAAAAUUUCUGAGGAAAAAUUUUUUCAUAAAUCGAAAAACAUACUUUUUAUAUAUCUACAGCGAAAAAAAAUCACGUUUCACAAAAUUUUUCACGUUAGUAGUUAAUGUAUGAGAGUUCAUCCUCCCUUUUUGACUUCAAUUUUCAUCCUCGAGCCGUGCAGGGUGUGUCAAUAGGCCUGGGGGUAAAGUUUAGAGUUCCGGUAGCUAUGUGUACCCCCAUCUUGGCCCUCAUGCGGAGUCUUAGUCAUAUUUGUGGGUGGUAUUCUUGGGCCCCGUUUCCUAUGCCCUCUGAUAUUGGAGCCCUGUGUGUACCCCCAUAUUGACUACCAUUUUGGCGCACCCAGAUCGGUGAUGGUAUUCUUGGGCACCAUUUCUUGUGCCCCAACAUUUCGGAGCCCUAUUCGUAUUAUCGGGCCCACAGAUAUGUUGUCGCGCAGUCCUGUAGUCAUGUUUCAUGUGGACGAGGCCUAUGUGUAUGCCCCUAUUUUUGGGCCUCCGAAUAUCAGGGCCCCCAGAUCUGUAGUCGCGAAGUCCUAGUCAUGUUUCAUGUGAAGGAGGCCUAUGUGUGUGUGUCCCUAUUCUUGGUGCCUCCUAAUAUCGGGGCCCCCAGAUCUGUAGUCGCGGAGUCCUAGUCAUGUUUAAUGUGAAGGAGGCCUAUGUGUGUGCCCCUAUUCUUGGUGGCUCCUAAUAUCGGGGCCCCCAGAUCUGUAGUCGCGGAGUCCUGGUCCUGUUUCAUGUGAAGGAGGCCUAUGUGUGUGCCCCUAUUCUUGGUGCCUCCUAAUAUCGGGGCCCCCAGAUCUGUAGUCGCGGAGUCCUAGUCAUGUUUCAUGUGAAGGAGGCCUAUGUGUGUGCCCCUAUUCUUGGUGCCUCCUAAUAUCGGGGCCCCCAGAUCUGUAGUCGCGGAGUCCUAGUCAUGUUUCAUGUGAAGGAGGCCUAAGUGUGUG